rnacentral:rRNA from 1 species
GAUGAACGCUAGCUACAGGCUUAACACAUGCAAGUCGAGGGGAAACGACAUCGAAAGCUUGCUUUUGAUGGGCGUCGACCGGCGCACGGGUGAGUAACGCGUAUCCAACCUGCCCACCACUUGGGAAUAACCUUGCGAAAGUAAGACUAAUACCCAAUGAUAUCCCACGAAGGCAUCCGAAUGGGAUUAAAGAUUUAUCGGUGAUGGAUGGGGAUGCGUCUGAUUAGCUUGUUGGCGGGGUAACGGCCCACCAAGGCGACGAUCAGUAGGGGUUCUGAGAGGAAGGUCCCCCACAUUGGAACUGAGACACGGUCCAAACUCCUACGGGAGGCAGCAGUGAGGAAUAUUGGUCAAUGGGCGAGAGCCUGAACCAGCCAAGUAGCGUGCAGGAUGGCGGCCCUAUGGGUUGUAAACUGCUUUUAUAAGGGAAUAAAGUGAGUCUCGUGAGACUUUUUGCAUGUACCUUAUGAAUAAGGACCGGCUAAUUCCGUGCCAGCAGCCGCCGUAA